AUGUACCGCUCGUACACUCCGGUUCCUCCGCGCCGUCCGCAGCUGCCUGACGAUCGCUCGCUGCGGUUUGUCAGCG
rnacentral:sRNA from 1 species